rnacentral:lncRNA from 1 species
AGUUCAUCCCAUUCCAACAGAAACCACGGCAGGGACACCUCCCACUGUCCCAGGCUGCUCCAGCCCCAGUGUCCAGCCUGGAACUGGGCACUGCCAGGGAUCCAGGGGCAGCCACAGCUGCUCUGGCAACAUCCCAGCCCCUUCCAGGGAACAAUUCCUAAUUCUCAAGAUCCAAUAGAAGCCUUCUUUCUGGCAGUGUCCAUUCCCUGUGUCCUGUCCCUCCAUUCCCUGUGUCCUGUCCCUCCAUUCCCUGUGUCCUGUCCCUCCAUUCCCUGUGUCCUGUCCCUCCAUUCCCUGUGUCCUGUCCCUCCAUUCCCUGUGUCCUGUCCCUCCAUUCCCUGUGUCCUGUCCCUCCAUUCCCUGUGUCCUGUCCCUCCAUUCCCUGUGUCCUGUCCCUCCAUUCCCUGUGUCCUGUCCCUCCAUUCCCUGUGUCCUGUCCCUCCAUUCCCUGUGUCCUGUCCCUCCAUUCCCUGUGUCCUGUCCCUCCAUUCCCUGUGUCCUGUCCCUCCAUUCCCUGUGUCCUGUCCCUCCAUUCCCUGUGUCCUGUCCCUCCAUUCCCUGUGUCCUGUCCCUCCAUUCCCUGUGUCCUGUCCCUCCAUUCCCUGUGUCCUGUCCCUCCAUUCCCUGUGUCCUGUCCCUCCAUUCCCUGUGUCCUGUCCCUCCAUUCCCUGUGUCCUGUCCCUCCAUUCCCUGUGUCCUGUCCCUCCAUUCCCUGUGUCCUGUCCCUCCAUUCCCUGUGUCCUGUCCCUCCAUUCCCUGUGUCCUGUCCCUCCAUUCCCUGUGUCCUGUCCCUCCAUUCCCUGUGUCCUGUCCCUCCAUUCCCUGUGUCCUGUCCCUCCAUUCCCUGUGUCCUGUCCCUCCAUUCCCUGUGUCCUGUCCCUCCAUCCCUUGGGAAUUGUCUCUCUCCAUGUUUCCUGCAGCUCCUUCAGGCCCUGCAAGGCCACCCUGAGCUCAGCCCAAAGCUUCUCCUGUGCAGGUGAACAAUCCCAGCUGUGCCAGCCUUUCCUGCCAGCAGAGCUGCUCCAUCCUCUGCUCAUCCUGCUGCCUCCUCUGGGCUCUCUGCAGCAGCUCCAGCUCCUCCCUGGGCUGGGGCAGGGCUGGGGCAGCUCUGCAGGUGGGGUCACACCUGGGGGGGCUCAGGGACACAAUCCCAAUCCCAAUCCCUUUCCUGAUCCCACACUGGGCACAGGGGCUCUGGGCUGGGCAGCUCCAGCUCUCCCAGGGCUGCUCCAUCUGCUCAUCCCAGCCUGGAUUCAUCCCAGGGUCAUCCCCACUCAAGUGCUGCCCACGUUAAACCUCACGGGAUUGCCAUGGGCACUCCUGGAGCUGGCCCGGGUCCCUCUGGAUGUCACCCCAGGGCAGCUCCUCCUCAUUCCUGGUGGCUCCUGA